ensembl:snRNA U6 U6 spliceosomal RNA
GUGCUCGUUUCGGCAGCACAUAUACUAAUAUUGGAACGAUACAGAGAAGAUUUAGCAUGGUCCCUGAGCAAGGAUGACACGCAAGUUCAUGAAGUGUUCCAUAUUUUU